rnacentral:rRNA from 1 species
UACGUAGGUGGCAAGCGUUAUCCGGAAUUAUUGGGCGUAAAGCGCGCGCAGGCGGUUUCUUAAGUCUGAUGUGAAAGCCCACGGCUCAACCGUGGAGGGUCAUUGGAAACUGGGGAACUUGAGUGCAGAAGAGAAAAGCGGAAUUCCACGUGUAGCGGUGAAAUGCGUAGAGAUGUGGAGGAACACCAGUGGCGAAGGCGAUCACCUGGGGUUGUUCUGACGCUGAGGAGCGAAAGCUAGGGGAGCAAACGGG